GGUAGCGUGGCCGAGCGGUCUAAGGCGCUGGUUUAAGGCACCAGUCUCGAAAAAGGCGUGGGUUCGAAUCCCACCGCUGCCA
rfam:Nematostella vectensis strain CH2 x CH6 NEMVEscaffold_18_Cont3433, whole genome shotgun sequence.